CCGUCUUGAAACACGGACCAAGGAGUCUAGCAUGUGCGCGAGUCAUUGGGAAUAUACACUAGACCCAGAGGCGCAAUGAAAGUGAAAGCCGCAAGGCGCAGGGAAGAUGCGGGAUCGGCGCGAGCCGUCCCGCCGCAUUCCCGAGGCGUUUCGAGAAAGCCACCGCGCGAUUAUCGGGACGCACUGAGAGCGUACACGCUGGGACCCGAAAGAUGGUGAACUAUGCCUGGUCAGGUCGAAGUCAGGGGAA
rnacentral:rRNA from 1 species